CAGGGCCUGAGGCUGCAGCACCUGUGCCAUUGUCAUGUCUUCUCCAAGCACAUAGAGAUACCACAGGAGGUGGGGCAACAAAUGGGAAAGGAAAGAGAGACAACAGCUUUAACAGGUGUCUCUCAAAGGAGAGUUUCAGAAACAGCCCCUGACAGUUUGACAGCUGCUGCCUCAUUGUUGCAGAGGAAGUUAAUCAAGGCUUUUAGCAAACUGGUCCCAGAAUAGACUGGACAGUCCUGCACUUCUGCCAGUUCAAAACCACUUUCAAGGAUUUAGAAAAAAUGAAAACCCAUUAGUGCGUAUUCACUUUUAAAAAACUCCAGCAUCAUCUAUGUCGGUUAAAGAUAGA